GGCCUGGAGAAGCCACGGGGCCGCGUCUGGAUCCCCGGGAGGACCCCACCUCGGCCUGGCCCCCGUGACCGCCCUCCCUGCCGAGGGGGCACCUGUCCGGGUGGUCCGCAGCCUGCACUCGAGUUUCGCUCUUGUUACCCAGGCUGGAGUUCAAUGGCGCAAUCUCGGCUCACCGCAACCUCCGCCUCCUGGGUUCAGGCAAUCCUCCUGCCUCAGCCUCCCGAGUAGCUGGGACUACAGACAUUCUUCUCAGCAAUUUCCUUCACAUCCAAGGUGCAAACUGCCACCUUCGAGCAAUAACCUCUGCAUCUGGAUUUGUAGGACACAGUUAUUUCUGAACUCCAGAAUUUUCUUUUUCUUUUUUUAUAUAUAAAUUGAACGCCAGAAUUUUCAACAGCUCACUGCCUUCUCCCACGCUGAUGCUGACAUGCAUCCCAAACGGAAAUCGAUUUCCCCUCCCACCCCUGAAUCCUGCCCCUUUCCUUACGGUUGUCUCUCCUCCAAUCAGCCAUCUGUUUGUUCCUGGUGGUUCUGCUUCUGAAUAGGAAUAAUGUCUCAAGUUACGCAUAUGAGCUCUGAAGCUGCACCACCUGGGCUAACCUGGUUCUGUGCUCACUAGCUGGUGACCUUCGACAGGCCAUGGAUGACAGCCUCAGUUUCCUCAUCUAUCAGAGGGGACCUACUUAAGUACUGAGGCUCCUCGAGGGAGUUGUUAUGAGGCCUAAAUGUCUGUGUAGUGCAGUGCUCACAGCUGCCGGUUCCAUACGAGGUUGUGGCUCAACCAGAGGUACCACAAGUGGCUUCCACCGUGGGCACGAGCAUCUGGACAAAGGGAAUAUGGUGGUGCCCGAAAGCUCAGAGAUGCCAGGAACCACAGAGCCCCAAAGGGGAUUACAGUGUGUCACAGCCUGUGAGGUCUGGGCUCCCAGAAGGGUCACAGGUCUUCUCUCCUUCUCAUCACCCACAGCAUGGUGAGCAGGGGGUUGUGUUUCUGGGGCAGCAUGUUACAGCUCUUCUUUUGGCCCUGCUCCAGUCCAUGGCUCCUAGGCUGGCCCAGCCCCACUGCUGCUUCCCUUUGCUUGGAGUGGCCGUUGCAUGGUGGGAGGGCUAUACCGUUAUAGCUCUGGCUUGAGAAACCCCAAGGUCUGGGCCCCUAGAAGGCUCACCAUUCUUCACUCCCUCAGUCUGGUAGCUGUCACCACCCGCAGCUUGGUGAGCUGGCCAGGAACGUGUUACAGCCACUUUAAUUCCCACCUGCAGCUCCACAAGCUGGCCAGGAAAGCAUUACAGCUCCUUUUGCUCCCACCAUUCCGCAGGUUUCAAGUUCUUGUUCCACAUCCAGGAAGAAUGAGGUUGUCUGGGGGUUUUAUGGGUUCAGAAAGGAAGAAGUGCAUGUUGAUUGGUCCAUGGACAGGAGGAAAUGCAUGCUGAUUGGUCCAUGGGCAGGCCUGGAAAAAUCACCACUCGAUUAGCUGAAAGGCAUCAAAGAAGUUCUCUCUGGAUCUCAGACUUCACCAGCCACUGGCAGCCUAGCCCACAAGCUUCAGGCCAACCCUGGCUUGAAGGUGGAGUUUUACAAGGGACCUGCCCCUUCCUGCCUAGGAACCUGUAUGCCUCCUGCUGCCAUCACUACUCGCUGGGAAUGUGCCUUCCAAGCAAAUAAGCCACACUCCAGAACUCAGCUCAAGCUUUGCCUUCUGUAGUGGUUUAUUUUCUAAACCCCAUGACCCUCACUGUAGUGCAAUCUCUUAGCUCCCUAUCACAGGCCUUCUUAGCUCCUCCAUGUCAAGGGCUGUGUCAUCCUUGGUCCUACAUCCAUGACAUAAGGCCAAGCACAUUUUAGAUGCUUGAAGAAAAUAUUUUCUGAAUAAAUGAAUGAAUGAGGCAUGAGAUCAUCUGUGUUCUUAAAACCUUACAAUAGGCUGAGUGCGGUGGCUCACAUCUGUAAUCCCAGCACUUUCAGAGGCCGAGGUGGGCAGAUCACCUAAAAUCAGGAGUUCAAAACCAGCCUGACCAACAUGGAGACAACCCAUCUCUACUAAAAAUACAAAAUUAGCCAGGCAUGGUGGCACAUGCCUGUGAUCCCAGGGGCUCAGGAGGCUGAGGCAGGAGAAUCGCUUGAAUCUGACAGGCAGCGGUUGUGGUGAGCCCAGAUUGUGCCACUGCACUCAAGCCUGGGCAACUGGGCAACAAGAGCAAAACUCCAUCUCAAAAAAAAAAAAAAAAAAAAACAAAACCUUACAAUGUGGUUAAUGAGAAAAAGGUUUACAGAAUUAAAGUUGAACCAAA